rnacentral:rRNA from 1 species
UGGGGAGCAAACAGGAUUAGAUACCCUGGUAGUCCACGCUGUAAACGAUGUCGAUUUGGAGGCUGUGUCCUUGAGACGUGGCUUCCGGAGCUAACGCGUUAAAUCGACCGCCUGGGGAGUACGGCCGCAAGGUUAAAACUCAAAUGAAUUGACGGGGGCCCGCACAAGCGGUGGAGCAUGUGGUUUAAUUCGAUGCAACGCGAAGAACCUUACCUGGUCUUGACAUCCACGGAAGUUUUCAGAGAUGAGAAUGUGCCUUCGGGAACCGUGAGACAGGUGCUGCAUGGCUGUCGUCAGCUCGUGUUGUGAAAUGUUGGGUUAAGUCCCGCAACGAGCGCAACCCUUAUCCUUUGUUGCCAGCGGUCCGGCCGGGAACUCAAAGGAGACUGCCAGUGAUAAACUGGAGGAAGGUGGGGAUGACGUCAAGUCAUCAUGGCCCUUACGACCAGGGCUACACACGUGCUACAAUGGCGCAUACAAAGAGAAGCGACCUCGCGAGAGCAAGCGGACCUCAUAAAGUGCGUCGUAGUCCGGAUUGGAGUCUGCAACUCGACUCCAUGAAGUCGGAAUCGCUAGUAAUCGUAGAUCAGAAUGCCACGGUGAAUACGUUCCCGGGCCUUGUACACACCGCCCGUCACACCAUGGGAGUGGGUUGCACCAGAAGUAGAUAGCUUAACCUUCGGGAGGGCGGUUACCACGGUGUGAUUCAUGACUGGGGUGAAGUCGUAACAAGGUAACCGUAGGGGAACCUGCGGUUG